AUUAUAUACACAUGUGUGUAUAUGUGUGUAUUAUACACACAGACACAACACAACAACACACAUCCUGUUGGUUCUGUAACUCUGAAGAAAUCUAACACAAUACUGUAGGUAUUCAAAUUUUCAUUAUCAUAAUUACUUUAUUUUAUCUUUAUCUUUCUAGCAGUGAAUAUCACAGAUUAUUGACUUCAUUUGGAACAUAAAUAAGUUAUUCCAAGUAUUCUAAUAUCAAUAAAAUAUUAUAUGAAAUAUUUACAUACUUAAGCACUGAAUCUUGACAAAAGUAAAUGACUUUUUUUAGGUUUGAUCUUCGCAGUGGCCUGUGGCUAAGACUGAUAUUAAAGGAAGAAUUAAAAUCCUGAAUCAAUCAUGAACUUUAAAGUUAAGAUGAAUUCAAGGAUAUCAAACUUGACUGCAUAAGAGAGUAUCAUGUUUGGAGAGAAGAAAUAAUUUUAUUGCGAGACACAAAGUGGUGUCUGUCACUUAAAUCCUUCACCAAUCUACCUCCUGUACUCGUGGAAAAAAAGGAAUCAAUAUAUGCACUCAAAAAGAACAAACAAGGUAGAAAGAGCCUUGUGGAUAUUUGCAGAAAUCGUUGAGAAUUCUGGGAAGAAGAACUAGCCAAUGCUGGGGCCCUGCAAAGGGAGGAGCUCAGUAGUUUGAAGGAGCAGAAGGAAGUCAGCACAGGUGAAGCAGUGAAUGAAGGUGAGAGUUCAGGGUAUGAGAUAAAAUAGCAUUCAAGGACUAAAUCUCAUGAGGCCUUGUAGAUC
ensembl:lincRNA